UACGUAAGGGGACAGGUCUGCUCUACGUAAGAGGACAGGUCCAGGUCUGCUCUAAGUAAGGGGACAGGUCUGCUCUAAGUAAGGGGACAGGUCUGCUCUAUGUAAGGGGACAGGUCUGCUCUACGUAAAAGGACAGGUCUGCUCUACGUAAAAGGACAGGUCUGCUCUACGUAAAAGGACAGGUCUGCUCUACGUAAAAGGACAGGUCUGCUCUACGUAAGAGGACAGGUCCAGGUCUGCUCUAUGUAAGGGGACAGGUCUGCUCUAUGUAAGGGGACAGGUCUGCUCUAUGUAAGGGGACAGGUCUGCUCUAUGUAAGGGGACAGGUCUGCUCUAUGUAAGGGGACAGGUCUGCUCUACGUAAGGGGACAGGUCUGCUCUACGUAAAAGGACAGGUCUGCUCUACGUAAAAGGACAGGUCUUCUCUACGUAAGAGGACAGGUCCAGGUCUGCUCUACGUAAGGGGACAGGUCCAGGUCUGCUCUACGUAAGGGGACAGGUCUGCUCUACGUAAGGGGACAGGUCUGCUCUACGUAAGGGGACAGGUCUGCUCUACGUAAGGGGACAGGUCUGCUCUACGUAAGGGGACAGGUCAGCUCUACGUAAGGGGACAGGUCUGCUCUACGUAAGGGGACAGGUCUGCUCUACGUAAGGGGACAGGUCAGCUCUAUGUAAGGGGACAGGUCUGCUCUACGUAAGGGGACAGGUCUGCUCUACGUAAGGGGACAGGUCAGCUCUAUGUAAGGGGACAGGUCUGCUCUAUGUAAGGGGACAGGUCUGCUCUAGGUAAGGGGACAGGUCUGCUCUACGUAAGGGAACAGGUCUGCUCU